CCAUGGGUAAGAUAUCACAUCAAACAUGAUCCUGAUAAGAAUGAAGCUGGAUGAAAACACGGUAUCUAAAUUUGAUGGAAAUAGAGGAAAAAUCUAUCCAGGAUACACAGUAUGGAUUGGGAUGAUUUACAGGAGUUAAUUCUAAUCGCUUAACUAUGUCCGUGGAGAUUACGUUGAUACAGCUACCGCAUCAAUGAUCAUCUUACAAAUUUUAUCACCAAAUUUUAUGAAGAUAUGAAAAAUAGAGGUCCUACGCCAG
rnacentral:lncRNA from 1 species